GCCGGCGCGGUGAUGACCGCUCUUGCCGUUUACCCAGCCGAGGGCUUCCCUGACGACGCCUCCUAGUCUGAGGCGCCGGC